GACGACCGCUGGCGGCGUGCUUAACACAUGCACGUCGCACGAAGUGGCGAACGGGUGAGUAAUACGUGGGUAACCUGCCCUCCUUUUUGGGAUAAGCCUUGGAAGCGGGGUCUAAUACCGAAUAAAGGGGGAUGGGCGCGCGGCCUAUCAGUUUGUUGGUGGGGUGCUGGCCUACCAAGGCGGUGACGGGUAGCCGGCCUGAGAGGCUGACUGGACACAGUGGGACGGCCAGACGUCCCAGAGUGCUACGCGGUGCGGCAGUGGGGGAUAUUGCACAAUGCGCGAAAGCCUGAUGCAGCGACGCCGAGUGGGGUAUGAGGGCUUUCGGGUUGUAAACCCAGUUCGCUAGAGAACGGGUAGGUGGAGAAGAAGCGCCGGCUAACUACGUGCCAGCAGCCGCGGUAAUAC
rnacentral:rRNA from 1 species